rnacentral:rRNA from 1 species
ACGUACACUCCUACGGGAGGCAGCAGUAGGGAAUCUUCCACAAUGGGUGCAAACCUGAUGGAGCAAUGCCGCGUGAGUGAAGAAGGUCUUCGGAUCGUAAAGCUCUGUUGUUAGAGAAGAACACGUGCUAGGUAACUACUAGCGCCUUGACGGUAUCUAACCAGAAAGUCACGGCUAACUACGUGCCAGCAGCCGCGGUAAUACGUAGGUGACAAGCGUUGUCCGGAUUUAUUGGGCGUAAAGGGAGCGCAGGCGGUCUGUUUAGUCUAAUGUGAAAGCCCACGGCUUAACCGUGGAACGGCAUUGGAAACUGACAGACUUGAAUGUAGAAGAGGAAAAUGGAAUUCCAAGUGUAGCGGUGGAAUGCGUAGAUAUUUGGAGGAACACCAGUGGCGAAGGCGAUUUUCUGGUCUAACAUUGACGCUGAGGCUCGAAAGCGUGGGGAGCGAACAGGAUUAGAAACCCUUGUAGUCCCAUG